AUGGAGAGUUUGAUCCUGGCUCAGGAUGAACGCUAGCGGCAGGCCUAAUACAUGCAAGUCGAGGGGCAGCAUGGUAGCAAUACUGAUGGCGACCGGCGCACGGGUGCGUAACGCGUAUGCAACCUACCUUUUACUGGGGUAUAGCCCGGAGAAAUCCGGAUUAACACCGCAUAAUAUGUUGAGAUGGCAUCAUUUUAAUAUUAAAUAUUUAUAGGUAAAAGAUGGGCAUGCGUCCAAUUAGCUGGUUGGUGGUGUAACGGACCACCAAGGCUUUGAUUGGUAGGGGUUCUGAGAGGAAGGUCCCCCACACUGGUACUGAGAUACGGACCAGACUCCUACGGGAGGCAGCAGUAGGGAAUAUUGGGCAAUGGAGGAGACUCUGACCCAGCCAUGCCGCGUGCAGGAAGAAGGCCUUCUGGGUUGUAAACUGCUUUUGAUCGGGAACAAAAAGUCCAUGCGUGGAAAAUUGAGUGUACCGAUAGAAUAAGCACCGGCUAACUCCGUGCCAGCAGCCGCGGUAAUAC
rnacentral:rRNA from 1 species